rnacentral:rRNA from 1 species
AAUGAUUGGUAGGGGAGCAUUCCAUUCUGCGUUGAAGGCGUGGCGUGAGCCAUUCUGGAGCGUAUGGAAAAGCAAAUGUAGGUAUAAGUAACGAUAAAGGGGGUGAGAAACCCCCUCGCCGAAAGACUAAGGUUUCCUGAUCAACGCUAAUCGGAUCAGGGUAAGUCGGGUCCUAAGGUUCAGCCGAACGGCGAGACCGAUGGCAGAAACGGUUAAUAUUCCGUUACUACCUUUGAGGGUGACGUGGGGACGCAG